rnacentral:misc_RNA from 1 species
UGUUGAUUGGCACCCUACAAAGUCUCUCUUAGUCUCAGGUGGAAAAGAUAAUCUUGUUAAACUUUGGGAUGCCAAGUCAGGAAAGGAGCUUUCAUCAUUUCAUGGACAUAAGAAUACCGUUCUCUGUGUAAAGUGGAAUCAAAAUGGUAACUGGGUCCUUACUGCUUCCAAGGAUCAAAUUAUCAAGCUUUAUGACAUACGUGCUAUGAAGGAGGUUGAGUCAUUCCGAGGGCAUCAGAAGGAUGUGACAUCACUGGCCUGGCAUCCAUUUCAUGAAGAAUAUUUCGUCAGUGGAAGCUUUGAUGGUUCAAUAUUUCAUUGGCUUGUGGGGCAUGAAGCUCCUCAAGUAGAAAUCACAAAUGCACAUGAAACUGGUGUUUGGGAUCUUGCGUGGCACCCCAUUGGCUAUCUCCUUUGCAGCGGUAGUAAUGAUCAGACAACAAAGUUCUGGUGCAGAAAUAGGCCUGGGGACUCCGCUCGUGAUAAAUUCAAUUUAGGACAACAAGGUUUGGGUGAUCAACACAAUGUUCUUGGUCGCAUGCCUGGUAAUUUUCCAGGUCCUGAGCCCCCAUCAACUCCUGGAGCAUUUGCCUCUGGUAUGUUACGAACGGAGGGUACAAUACCUGGAGUUGGAGCUGCAAUGCCACUGUCUAUCCCGUCACUUGAUUCACCUUCUCAAGGAGAACAGAAGACUUCAAUGCCUUUAGGAGCUCCUCCCCUUCCUCCUGGUCCACAUCCAUCGCUUCUUGCAAGUAAUCAGCAGCAAGCAUAUCAACAAAACAUGCAGCAAGCUCAGCAGCAGUCACUGCCUCAACAAAUGACUUCUCUUCCUUUGCAACCACCGAAUUUGCCACAGCUACAGCCUCCACAUAUGCCUCUAAUGCCACAUCCUCAUCUACCUCGGCCACCACAUCAACUACAACCAGUAAACAUGCCCGGCAUUCAGUCUUCAAUGCCAGGAUCUGGACCCAUCCAAGGAAUGCCUCCGAUGGGGAUACAAGGUAACAUGAAUCAGAUGGGCCCUCCAAUGCCUCAAGGUCAUUUUGUUGGCAUGCCUCCUGGAUCUGGACCGCAGGGCAAUGUUCCCCCUGGUGGAAUGCCAAAUGGAUUGCCAAACAUGCAAGGCCCUCAAAAUGCAGGAGGCAAUCAGAUGUUUCCACCAGUACGAGGCUUCAACAGGCCACAAGCUGGACAGAUGCCGCUCAUGCCUGGACUUAAUCCUUAUCAGCAAUCUGGAAAUCCAAACACACCUCCUGGAAUGCACAUGCAGUCAAACUUUGGUCAUCAAUCUGGAAUGCCUCCGCCACUGCCGCCAGGGCCUCCACCACAUAAUCAAGGACAUCAAUAGGCCAUUGUCUAUAGUUUCGAGCUUUGCUCAAGUUGUCUGUUGAGAUUCUACUCUCUGCACCAGUUCAAUUGGUUAAUUGAUUUCUUUUGACAGACAGUCGGAUAGCAUCUCUGUAUUUUCUUGAAUGUAUUUUUAGGGAAAAGUUAUUGCAUAUUUAUGCAUUCG